AGAGUCUCCCUCUGUCGCCCAGACUGGAGUGCAGUGGCGCAAUCUCGGCUCACUGCAAGCUCCGCCUCCCGGGUUCACGCCAUUCUCCUGCCUCAACCUCUCCGAGUAGCUGGGACUACAGGCGCCCGCCACCACGCCCAGCUAUUUUUUUUGUAUUUUUAUUAGAGACGGGGUUUCACCGUGGCCUCAAUCUCCUGACCUCAUGAUCCGCCCGCCUCGGCCUCCCAAAGUGCUGGGAUUACAAGCGUGAGCCACCGCGCCUGGCCCCAGUACUCUUUCAUCCUCUUGAAACCACCAUUGCAAAAUUAUAACUGAGACAGUGACAGAGAUCUGACCCAACCAACUCCAUCUUGCUUCUAACCUCCAAGCUAUCCUUGUUCAUUCCUGAGUGUAGGCUGAACUAACUUUGGGAGGAACUUGGUUUAUAGUUUAAAAGAAAGACAAUAAUAGCCCUUUCCCAAAACAAACCUCCAUCUUGCCUGGGGACCAGACUGCCUUUGUAGGAGUAACAAAUUAGCCAAAAGAUUAGAAAUUAUGGCUUAGGAGUCAUGCAGCUGGAGGCUACAGGAUUCUGACCCUCCCCAAAUUGCUCCUGGGAAUAAUAUCACUAAAGUCUAAGAUCAGUGCUUGAGAUAUUUUGCAGACCUCGCACUGGAUGGAUCAGCUGGCACCACCCAGAUCGAUAAACUGGCUCAUCAGAUCCUAUGGCCCCCACCCAGGAACUGACUCAAGCACAAGACAGCUUCAAUUCCCUAUGAUUUCAUCUCUGACCGGAUCAAUCAGCACUCCUGACUCACUGGCUGCCACCCACCCUCCAAAUUAUCCUUAAAAACUGUGACCUCCAAAUGCUUGGGGAGACUGAUUUGAGUAAUAAAAAAAAGUCCCAGUUUCCCACACAGCUGGCUCUGCAUGAAUUAUUCUUUCUCUAUUGCAAUUCCCCUGUCUUGAUAAAUUGGUUCUGCCUAUGCAGCAGACAAGGUGAACCUGUUGGGCCAUUACAAUCUCAUAGCAGUGGCAGAAUGGACAGACCAGUGAACCCUGUGCUAGGACAACCUGCACCAGGCCCUGGCUGUUGUAGGAGGUCUUUUUUUUUUUUUUUUUUUGAGUUGGAGUUUCACUCUUGUUGCCCAGGCUGGAGUGCAAUGGCGCGAUCUCGGCUCACUGCAACCUCCGCCCCCUGGGUUCAAGCGAUUCUCCUGCCUCAGCCUCCCAAGUAGCUGGGAUUACAGGCAUGCACCAUCACACCCAGCUCAUUUUGUAAUUUUAGUAGAGACUGGGUUUCUCCAUGUCGGUCAGGCUAGUCCCAAACUCCCAACCUCAGGGGAUCCACCCGCCUCGGCCUCCCAAAGUGCUGGGAUUACAGGCAUGAGCCACCGCGCCCGGCCUGUCGUAGGAGGUCUUGAACAAACCACUUAACUUGUUUGGGUGGGCCUUAGUUCCCAUGUUAGUAAUCUGGAAGUAACAGUUCUGCCUUAUCUGUCUGUUCGGGUUUUGACAUUUAGUGAAGUAUGGGAUUUGUAUACUGUAAAGUGAUUGAAUGUAUUUACUAGGUGCAAUACCUAAAAUACGAGUUUCAAGCACUGCUCUGCUUUUACUUAUAGAACCACGUUCUCACUUUUCUAGCCUGAUCAUUCAAGACCCUUGAACACAUAGUCCUUAUCUCCCGCUCCUCAUUGAGACCCUUCCAGAACACUACAAACUUGUAAUACUUAGCUGUAUCACCAGCAAACCAUGUCCUUCCCAAUUUCAGGACCUUUCAAUGUGCUUUCCUCUGCCUGGGGGUGGGUGAGGGGUGGAGGGUAGUUUCCUCCCAACCUCUCCACAAAGGUAGAAGAGACAGAAAACCAUUAUUGAAUAAGUAUUAAACCAGAUUGUGAUGCCGUACAUCACAUGCAACCCGCUAAAGGCAACACAAAGACAGAAACUCACUUUUUCUAUACAGCUAAGUAGAGAUAGCCCAUCGCAUUAUGUAGGUUUUGCAAUUUGGAGUCAGGUGCCAAGUUAAGCCUUUGUCCUCCUAAGAAGCUGGACUCUUGGCCCUUUCGUCCCUUAACAAUUGCAUCUUUCUUUCUUUGUUUUUGAGACGGAGUCUCGCUCUGUCUCCAGGCUGGAGUGCAGUGGCGCUAUGUCGGCUCACUGCAACUUCUGCCCCCGGGUUCAAGCGAUUCUCCUGUUUCAGCCUCCCGAGUAGCUGGGACUACAGGCACGCUUCACCAUGCCCAGCUAAUUUUUGUAUUUUUAGUAGGGACAGAGUUUCACCAUGUUGGCCAGGAUGGUCUCGAUCUCUUGAUCUUGUGAUCCGCCCGCCUCAGCCUCCCAAAGUGCUGGGAUUGCAGGCGUGAGCCACCGUACUCAGCCAACAAUUACACUUCAAGGAGAUGGCUCCCAAGAAACAUUCCUGAGCCUGGCCAUAGAAGAAAAAGACCUGAGUACAUUUGGAAAGGAGAGAGGCUGACAUUUUGAAAGAAAAAGGGAGGGGGGUGGUUUCUCGUCCCUUAUUUUCCGCAGGGAAAAUGAAACCCUAUGUAUAAUUUGUAUUUGCCCUUCCACCUGCAUCACCUUUCCCACAUGCUCCCACAGGCAGGCUCCUGUUCAUUCCCAAGGCUCCGUGUCCACAUCGUGCUUGGAUUCCGCCCGGCCCCGCCUGUGUGGCCGCACCAGAAAGGCACUACCCAUUAGAGGCUCAGCGCGCCCCUCCAGGCCACACAGUCAGGCCUCCGUCCUUUCAGCUGUAGGGGCAGAUUACGUAACUCCAGCCUUCUGGUCACUAAAGGAGGGCAACAAGGGGCGGUCGAGAGACUCCACUGAGAUGACACGCGGAGGCAGCCUCAGGACCCUAAACUCUACGCCCCAGCACACCCUACCAAGUGAGCGCCCGCGGCCGCGUGACGUCAUCUACCCCAAACGCUGUGGCCCCGGCCACGCACGGUUUCGGGGCGGGACUACGCGGUGGCGUCGAGCUGCGCGGCGUAGCGCGCGGCGUCAGUCUUAGCUGGCAGACUCUGUACUCCGUACUCCGCACUCCGUACUCCGUACUCGCAGCGGCGCCGUCUUCGGCAGCCCAGUCAUCCACCGCCAUCCUGGGCCCCACGUGUUGCCUGACCAUUCCUGAGCCCAGGUGGGAGCCGUGGCUGAGGUGACGGUCUCAAAGUGGAAGAGCUUACUGUCACAGCAACUCUUUUGCAAGAUGCCCCGGCCAGGAACAGUUGCUGAACACCCCAGGCCUGCUGCGGUCCCUCCUUGAGUCUCAUGUUCAAGCAGUCUUUGUCCAUGAAACUGGGAGGCGACCUUGUUAGCUGCCAGUUCCUGACAGCCACAUCUCACCAGUGGCUUCACUCUGUGUCCCUGACCCAGCACAUGGCACAAGAGUGCCUGCCAUCCCUCAGUGUUUCUACAGCAGCAAUCCUGAGAUGCCGGAGCUAGAGGGGACCUGACCUGAGAGAAGAUACCUUCAAUGGCUGCCAGGCUGUUCCUUGGAACCUGUGCAGGGAUGAGGCUUGCCUGUGUUAAUACACCUGGUGAGGAGUGGAGCUGAAUUUGAAUGCAAGCCUUGGCACCUUCAUUGAGCAAGUUUGAAACCUCACUUGUUGCCCUUCUGGAAGGAGUCAGGAAUUUCCAGUUCUGGGCCUGGGCUGUGGGUCUGACAGACAGACCUCUGGCCCUAGGUUUGGGUGCCAGGUUCUCUGCUUCCAGAAUGAGAAGCUUUGCUGUGCACCGGGACCUGGGCCCUUCUGGUAUCUCCUGAAUGAAAAACAAGGGAUAUUUAAUAAAUAUGGAUUUAAAUAUG